rnacentral:rRNA from 1 species
GAUGAACGCUGGCGGCGUGCCUAAUACAUGCAAGUCGAGCGAACAGACGAGGAGCUUGCUCCUCUGACGUUAGCGGCGGACGGGUGAGUAACACGUGGAUAACCUACCUAUAAGACUGGGAUAACUUCGGGAAACCGGAGCUAAUACCGGAUAAUAUAUUGAACCGCAUGGUUCAAUAGUGAAAGACGGUUUUGCUGUCACUUAUAGAUGGAUCCGCGCCGCAUUAGCUAGUUGGUAAGGUAACGGCUUACCAAGCCGACGAUGCGUAGCCGACCUGAGAGGGUGAUCGGCCACACUGGAACUGAGACACGGUCCAGACUCCUACGGGAGGCAGCAGUAGGGAAUCUUCCGCAAUGGGCGAAAGCUUGACGGAGCAACGCCGCGUGAGUGAUGAAGGUCUUCGGAUCGUAAAACUCUGUUAUUAGGGAAGAACAAAUGUGUAAGUAACUAUGCACGUCUUGACGGUACCUAAUCAGAAAGCCACGGCUAACUACGUG